AUCCUGGCUCAGGAUGAACGCUGGCGGCGUGCCUAAUACAUGCAAGUCGAGCGAACAGAUAAGGAGCUUGCUCCUUUGACGUUAGCGGCGGACGGGUGAGUAACACGUGGGUAACCUACCUAUAAGACUGGAAUAACUCCGGGAAACCGGGGCUAAUGCCGGAUAACAUAUAGAACCGCAUGGUUCUAUAGUGAAAGAUGGUUUUGCUAUCACUUAUAGAUGGACCCGCGCCGUAUUAGCUAGUUGGUAAGGUAAUGGCUUACCAAGGCGACGAUACGUAGCCGACCUGAGAGGGUGAUCGGCCACACUGGAACUGAGACACGGUCCAGACUCCUACGGGAGGCAGCAGUAGGGAAUCUUCCGCAAUGGGCGAAAGCCUGACGGAGCAACGCCGCGUGAGUGAUGAAGGGUUUCGGCUCGUAAAACUCUGUUAUUAGGGAAGAACAUAUGUGUAAGUAACUGUGCACAUCUUGACGGUACCUAAUCAGAAAGCCACGGCUAACUACGUG
rnacentral:rRNA from 1 species